AUUGAACGCUGGCGGAAUGCUUUACACAUGCAAGUCGAACGGCAGCACGGACUUCGGUCUGGUGGUGAGUGGCGAACGGGUGAGUAAUGUAUCGGAACGUGCCCAGUCGUGGGGGAUAACGUAGUGAAAAUUACGCUAAUACCGCAUACGAGCUAUGGAUGAAAGCCGGGGAUCGCAAGACCUCGCGCGAUUGGAGCGGCCGAUAUGAGAUUAGGUAGUUGGGGGGGUAAAGGCCCACCAAGCCAACGAUCUGUAGCUGGUCUGAGAGGACGACCAGCCACACUGGAACUGAGACACGGUCCAGACUCCUACGGGAGGCAGCAGUGGGGAAUUUUGGACAAUGGGCGAAAGCCUGAUCCAGCCAUUCCGCGUGCAGGAUGAAGGCCCUCGGGUUGUAAACUGCUUUUGUACAGAACGAAAAGGUUUCUACUAAUACUAGGAGCUCAUGACGGUACUGUAAGAAUAAGCACCGGCUAACUACGUGCCAGCAGCCGCCGUAA
rnacentral:rRNA from 1 species